rnacentral:rRNA from 1 species
CCUACGGGAGGCAGCAGUGGGGAAUAUUGGGCAAUGGGCGCAAGCCUGACCCAGCAACGCCGCGUGAAGGAAGAAGGCUUUCGGGUUGUAAACUUCUUUUGACAGGGAAGAGCAGAAGACGGUACCUGUCGAAUAAGCCACGGCUAACUACGUGCCAGCAGCCGCGGUAAUACGUAGGUGGCAAGCGUUGUCCGGAUUUACUGGGUGGAAAGGGCGUGUAGCCGGGCUGACAAGUCAGAUGUGAAAUCCGGGGGCUCAACCCCCGAACUGCCUUUGAAACUGUUGGUCUUGAGUAUCGGAGAGGCAGGCGGAAUUCCUAUUGUAGCGGUGAACUGCGUAGAUCUUAGGCGGAACACCAGUGGCGAAGGCGGCCUGCUGGACGACACCUGACGGUGAGGCGCGAAAGCGUGGGGAGCAAACAGGAUUAGAUACCCCUGUAGUC